UACGUAGGGUGCGAGCGUUGUCCGGAAUUACUGGGCGUAAAGAGCUCGUAGGUGGUUUGUCGCGUCGUCUGUGAAAUUCCGGGGCUUAACUCCGGGCGUGCAGGCGAUACGGGCAUAACUUGAGUACUGUAGGGGAGGACUGGAAUUCCUGGUGUAGCGGUGAAAUGCGCAGAUAUCAGGAGGAACACCGGUGGCGAAGGCGGGUCUCUGGGCAGUAACUGACGCUGAGGAGCGAAAGCAUGGGUAGCGAACAGGAUUAGAUACCCUGGUA
rnacentral:rRNA from 1 species